GUAAAGAGCAAGUGGCGCGCUCAAGUGACUACCUCGAUGGACAGUUGAGUUUUCGCGAAAAUUUCAAGGUGCGCCAACACCUGCUGUUUUGCUCGCGCUGUCGACAAUUCAUUCGUCAGAUGCGCUUGGUCCAGGCCGUGUUGCACACCCUGCCGGAGGAGCUGGAGUCAGAUGUUGAAGGCCUGUGCGAGCAACUCGCGGCCACACGGCGUGAUGACCUGUGAUCAAGACGGUC
rnacentral:sRNA from 1 species